CUCUUUACUCCCUCCUUCCUUCCCUUCCUCUCCUCUUCCUUUCUUUCUUCUUUCUUUCCUUCCUUCCCCCUCUUCCUUCAUCCAUUCUAAUUUCUUUUUUCUCUUUUCCAUAUGACUCCCCCCUGCCCAUGGCACUCUGUGGCACCCAUGGAGAUGGCUGUUGGAGAUAGUCAAGAAUGACAGAGGUUAUUCACCCCAGCCCUUCAUUGAUGACAAGCUGAAGGCUUUUAUGCAGAAGAGGCCACUUUGCUUCUAUAAAAAGGCAUUCCCUGGUACCUUUAUGCAAAGAACCCAAUCAAAUACACGAAGAAGAAAUAUUCUAGAAAUCCUCUUAUUCAUUUUUGGAGAAGAUGACAGAGCUGCUAUGUAUGACACACAACCAUAUAUGAAAUGGAAAGAAGAACCUUUCCUAUAUUUUUAUAAUAUGGAAAGAAAAGAAGAAUAAAAAAGGGGGACAGUGAAGAAGAAGAAGAACAAGAAAAAGAGAAAAAGGAAGGAAGGGAAGGUGGAAGAAGACAGAAAAAGGAAGAAUUAGAAGAAGGAGGAGGAGGAGGAGGAGGAGGAAAGCAACAAUAACAACAACAAACAAACAAACAACUGGAAAUGUCUAUCAAAGGUCUCACCCCAAUGAAGUGGGAAUUGUGAAGAAGCCCUGGGACCAUCAAGACAUCAACAGCAAGUCAACUGUACAGUAUAUCUUUCCCCUUUGGCUGAGGGGGGUGGGAGUAGCUAAGGACCUACGUCUAUUUUUUUGAAGCCAAAGAAAAACCUAGAACUAGCUCUGCUGGAUUAAGACACUCCGAUGAUUUCAGUUUAGAGCUGGGAAGGAAGGCUAACAAGUAUUUCUCUGGGUCAUGUUUAAAACACCUUUUUAAUGUUUCAUUGACAAGCAAAGACCUAACUGUCUUCAUGCUGCUAAAUUACUCCACCAUACAGUGCCUUACACAGACUGAGUAUUUGAUAAAUGCUUUUAUAUGCAUUCAUCCAUCCAAAGAAAAUAGCACAUUUUAGGAAGCCCAUGAUCCAGGAUUAUCCUGAAAUUAGCUCAAAUCUAGAAAACUGUUAAGUUUUCAGUGUGAACAUUCAUUCCUUAGAAAUCAACAAACAAAUCAGGUAUUGAAUUAUUAUUUUAUUGAUCGUCUAAACUGAAGAAAGUGAUGAAGAAUGUUAAUAGUGCAAAUUAAACUUAAAAGUGUUCUGUACAUACUUUUUCUCCCCCAAGAGUUUGUUAUGCAUUUACCAACAAACCCUUUCCAUUAUCCAUCUGGGUAAUGCAUAGAUUCCAUCAAGGCACCAGAGAAUGAGAAAUAACAGCCAUGCUAAACACAGAGCCUGGCUUUUCAAGGCUGGGGAAGAUUGGCUGGGUCUUCAUGAUUUCUAUUCUGCUUUCUUGAGGCAGAAGGGCAAUCAUAUCACUCAUGAUUGCCCAUAAAUCCAGGGCUGCUGUUUCAUAAGGGUGCCAGUUCUGAGGCAUGUGUUGGUUUGUUUGCUUGCUUUUAUAGUUACUUUGCCAUCUUCCCAUUAAGGAGAUGAGCUAUGGCAGCAGCGUCCUUCCCUCCUCCAAGGCAGAUGACUGUUCACCAGAGAAUUUGGUACCAAAUGGCAGAAUGACUCACAAUGGAGGUUCUCAAAAGGUUGGGGGUCCCAGCAGGAGGAGCUCCAUCUGUAUGAAGGGAGAGGUAAACUAAGGUUUUGUCUUCUGGCGGAGGAGCAAAUUCUCAUCCUUAUACAUUUUCCUUGGUAAUUUAUCCUGUGACAAAAAAAAAAAAAAUGAAGAAAGGUUCCCUGGUUUCUAGAAGAAAGAGCAUGAAUAAAAUCUGCUUGGAGAGGGAGUGAAGAGGCCGAAUACCUGAUCCAACAGACUUUGCCAAAUAAAUUACAUCCCAUUAAAGCUGCAUUUAAAUUUUCAGUGUGAACAUUCAUUCCUUAAAAAUCAACAAACAAAUAAGGUAUUGAAUUAUUAUUUUAUUGAUCAUCUAAACUGAAGAAAGUAAUGAAGAAUAUGUUAAUAAUGCAAAUUUAACUUCCAACAGCUAUUCCAAAUAAAUUACAUUCCAUGAAAGCUGCAUUUAUUCCCUCUCCUCCCCUUAUAUUUAGAUGGCCAUUGUUUGGGCCUUAUAGGGAUAGUGUGUCUAAGGGAAUAGGGGGUUAGAUUUGAAGUUGAAAAGACCCGAGUUCAAAUCCUACCUCCAACAUUUCAUGGUUCUAAGUGACGGGCAAGUCACUUAACCUUGUCUGGGCUUCAAUUUACUUAUUGAGUAAAAUUAGGGGAUUGCACUAGAUAAUAUCUGAGGUCUUCUCCUGGUUCUAAACUCUUGAUCUUAUGAAUUUUUGAGGAAUUGUCCAGGAGAUUCCUCAUUGGUUGUUUUCUUUUUUUACCCCCCCUCCAAAAUUCCCCAAACUGUUCUGGGAAUUUGAAAAAGGCCUGAAUAAAUGACCCUGCAGCAUGAACACUGCUUCCUAAUUGGAGAGAAACAAAAGUUUUGCUCUUGCACAGCAGUUAAAUUUCUGCGGUGGGCUAUCCAGGGUCUACCCCUCUGAGUAUGGCUGCAGGUUCCCCUAAUGUGUGCUUCAAAAACUGUCAGUAAGCAUGCCAGAGAGGGUUUUGAUCCAGGAUCAGGGAGCACUGAAAGGACUGCUUUCUUUCCCUGAUGGACAAGGUUAAAACAAAACCUCCUACCGAGUCCCCUGCUUUGGGGCUUGACCCUCUGGACUCACCCAAUCUGGAAAUUCUGAAGAGUCCGAAGAAUUAAGCUCCAGGCACCCCUCCCUCCAGUACUGUAAGCAAGCUCUGACUCACUUCCCCUCCUAGAUCGGAUUUCCUCUCACAAGAGGGUUCCCGGUGCCAAGGAAUUCUUUGAAUGCCUUUGUUGUUAUCCAUUUGUUAGGUGCGCUCCUUUUCAUGCUAGCUAGCUGAGACUCCAAGCCUCGGUUGCUGCUGGCUACAGGGCCAUGACCUCAGUUUUAUAACUGGUCACCUCCACCCCCUGUCACUUUUCCUGACCCUAAAGGCAAUAAUAAUGAUAAUGGUGAUGAUAAUAACAACAAUAAUAAUAGAUUACAUUAGUCUCCUAACUCAAGUUGUUGCUUCCUAAAAGCAACAAUUCCCAAGCCUGUGUGGUUUGUUUAUCUUGAUGCUUUACACAGCGGUCAUACCUCCAUUAGCUCUUGGGGUCCUUACAGCAGCCCUGUGGAAAAGGAAGGAGAGAGAUUAAUCAUUCCCAUUUUUCAGAUGAGGAAAAUGAAACUCAGAUUUGUCACAUACAUAUUUGGCUUGGGGAUAGUAGGGUUAAGACCAGAACCCAAGUUUUUUUUUUUUUUUUUUUAAUAACCUGGUAUCCUAGAAUACAGACCAUUCAGCACAAGAUAAUUAAUAAUAAUAAUAGUGUAAGAUAGCACUCCAAGGCUUGCAAAGUACUCCACAUUUUAUCUUCUUUGAUUUUUCACAAUGGGCUAUAAUGUAAGUGCUAUUAUCAACCUCAUUUCAUAAAGGAGGAAACUGAAGCUAAAUGACUUGACCAGGAUCAUCUAAUUGAUCCCAAUUCUGUUGUUAGUGACAGGUUGCUUAAUCACUGAUUGGGGACAUCACUUUCCCCACUGAGGUAGUCUUCAGACCAUUGUCUUCCUGACUCCAAAUAAACCCUUCUAUCCAGACUGCACCACUAGCUGCCCCCAAAGACUCAGUGAUGAGGUGACCCCUGGAUCCUCUACCACUCAGUAGCCAAAAGCACAGUCAUUUCUAGAUCGAAUUCAAAUACCCAAGGGAAAUUCUAUGGUGCAACAUUGCUGAUAGGGCUGCUACAAAGUCUACUCAUGAAAAACAUCAUAUGUACAACCCAUCAGGACCCAUCAGGAAUGAAUGAAAUAUUAUCGUGCUAUAAGAAAUGAUGAGGAGGUGAAUUUCAAAAAAACCUGAAAAGAAUUACCUGAACUGAUGCUGAGUGAAGUGAGCAGAACUAGGAGAAUAUUGAACACAGUUACAGCAACAUUGUGUGAUAAUCAACUUUGAUAGACCUAGUUCUUCUCAGAAAUAUAAUGAUCUAAAAUAAUUCUAAAAGACUCAUGAUAGAAAAUGCUAUCCAUAGCCAGAGAAAGAACUAUGGUGUUUGAAUGGUUUUUCAUCUUUUUGUUAUUUGGGGCUUUUUUCUCAUGUUUCUUGCUUUUUUGUUCUGAUUAUCUUUACACAAUAUAACUUAAUGUGAAAAUAUGUUAAACUAUACAUGUUAUCACCUAUAUCAGAUUACAUGCCAUCUUGGGAAGGGGGAAAAAAAGAGUGGGAGAAAAAAAGUGGAACUCAAAAUCCUAUAAAAGUGAAUGCU